AGUGAACGCUGGCGGUAUGCCUAACACAUGCAAGUCGAACGGCAGCACAGUAAGAGCUUGCUCUUACGGGUUGCGAGUGGCGUACGUGUGAGGAAUACAUCGGAAUCUACUUUUUCGUGGGGGAUAACGUAGGUAAACUUACUCUAAUACCGCAUACGACCUACGGGUGAAAGCAUGGGAUCUUCGGACCUUGCGCGAUUGAAUGAGCCGAUGUCGGAUUAGCUAGUUGGCGGGGUAAAGGCCCACCAAGGCGACGAUCCGUAGCUGGUCUGAGAGGAUGAUCAGCCACACUGGAACUGAGACACGGUCCAGACUACUACGGGAGGCAGCAGUGGGGAAUAUUGGACAAUGGGCGCAAGCCUGAUCCAGCCAUACCGCGUGGGUGAAGAAGGCCUUCGGGUUGUAAAGACCUUUUGUUGGGAAAGAAAAGCAGCAGGUUAAUACCCAGCUGUUCUGACGGUAACCAAAGAAUAAGCACCGGCUAACUUCGUG
rnacentral:rRNA from 1 species